UACGUAGGGGGCAAGCGUUGUCCGGAUUUAUUGGGCGUAAAGAGCGUGUAGGCGGUUCGGUAGGUCCGUUGUGAAAACUCGAGGCUCAACCUCGAGACGCCGAUGGAAACCAUCGAACUAGAGUCCGGAAGAGGAGAGUGGAAUUCCUGGUGUAGCGGUGAAAUGCGCAGAUAUCAGGAGGAACACCGGUGGUGUAGACGGCUCUCUAGACCGUAACUGACGCUGAGGCACGAAAGCGUGGGUAGCAAACAGG
rnacentral:rRNA from 1 species